rnacentral:lncRNA from 1 species
CAACACUACGCUAGAAGCAAACCCAAGUAAUCCAACUACUACUCUCUAUCUAGUAGUGAUUGUCACACACUCAACACUGUGUCGGUUUCCAUUUCCAAUUAGGGACCUACCCAAGGUAGUCCAGCUUGUGCCGCCUAAGUGCCUGUGGUAGCUCAACAUCCCUACUCUUGGAAUGUGUCUGUCCCACUCGACCCCGUAGGCUUCUCAAUACCGCACGAGCGAACAUAAGUCGCGUAGGCUAACUCCGGAGUGCCGGCUUGUGGGGAGCGACCCACACAAGCAUGUGCGAAUGAGCACAAAUGGCAAACAAGCAAGGUCACUGUCUCAAAUACUCUAUCCACAUGUCUCCAACAUGGCAAGGUCACUAGCAUCCCAAGGAUCUAACCCAAUGUCUCUAAGUGAUGUCCCAACACUCACUUGCUUAGUGCCUCUUUAUGACACUUAAGCAUCACACUGAUAAAGCCCAAUUCUUGUUCUAUAUUUCAUUUAAACAUUAAUACCAAUGAUUACUAUAGCCCGGGCCCAAUGCCUCUUUAUGACAUUGACCCAAAAUCCCAAACAAUCUAAGUCCCCAAGCCUCUCUAGGCUUCUAAAGUCCCUAAUGUCACAAUUAGGCAUAAAGGUAAAAUGCAUGAAAGCAAU